CACGUAGGGCGCGAGCGUUGUCCGGAAUUAUUGGGCGUAAAGAGCUCGUAGGCGGCCUGUUGCGUCCGCUGUGAAAGCCCGGGGCUUAACCCCGGGUCGGCAGUGGAUACGGGCAGGCUAGAGGUAGGUAGGGGAGAAUGGAAUUCCCGGUGUAGCGGUGAAAUGCGCAGAUAUCGGGAGGAACACCGGUGGCGAAGGCGGUUCUCUGAGCCUUACCUGACGCUGAGGAGCGAAAGCGUGGGGAGCGAACAGG
rnacentral:rRNA from 1 species